UAAUUAAUAAUGAAAAUUAAAUGUUAAAUACUAUGUCUGAUUAAAGUAAUAAAUUGUAAAUUUAUUUAAGAA
rnacentral:tRNA from 1 species